CUAAAGAGACUGCCGGUGUCAAACCGGAGGAAGGUGGGGAUGACGUCAAGUCCUCAUGGCCUUUAUGACCAGGGCUACACACGUACUACAAUGGCCGGUACAAAGGGCAGCGGCACAGCGAUGUGAAGCCAAUCCCGAAAAGCCGGUCUCAGUCCGGAUUGGAGUCUGCAACUCGACUCCAUGAAGUUGGAAUCGCUAGUAAUCGCGGAUCAGCACGCCGCGGUGAAUACGUUCCCGGGCCUU
rnacentral:rRNA from 1 species